CGGUCACCUCCAGCCCUAGCGCCAUCUGCUCUGUACCCCCACCGCUAACCUCCUCAGCUCUGGCCUGCCCGCGCUCCUCCUCGUUGCCUGGAUCCGGCAGCCCCUCCAUGCUCAUCCGCCCCUUUCCCGCUCUCUCCUCGACCGGCUCGCUCCCGCUUGCAACCACCCACACCCUGUUCUGCUCCAGAGACAGUCCUGGCGGCGCUGAAGGAGGAGACGCAGCAGCGGAUGGAUGACGCAUCGAUUGGAGGUCAUUGGUGGCCACUCACGCCUCCUCAGACCUCACCCUCACUUCGUCGUCAGCGCAGGUUUGGCCAACGGCCCCCGACCGGAUCGCAGGUCCUCCUCACGGUGAGGCACAGCCCACAGAGUCGAGCCGGACAUCACAACCAUGACCAUGAGGCAUCGUCGCAGCAGUCGGAGUCAUUUUUGCUGCCCCCUCCCGACACCUGUAAAUUUUGUAUGCCUUCACGCCGUGAAGCCACAUUUGCGGCCAUUGGCAAUGGCUGUAUCCACUGUUUCGAUCCAUAUAUUUGGUGAUGUCCCUUCUUCACCUCUUGUUGGGCUGCUUCAGGACAAAAUCAAUAACUGGAGGGAGACAUCUCUUAUAUUGACAUCCAUCCUUUUCGCUGCAGUUGUGUUCUGGUUCAUUGGUGUGUCUGAGGCUGCACAAGAUGCUCUUGAUCAUCUUUUCAACCAAGGCCACAAUCUCGUAACAGAAAAUGAGAUUUCUGAUACCUUUACUAGGCUGGUUGAAAGGCUACCACAAGUGGUACUUGGAAGCGAGGAGACAACCACACUUUCACAUGCUAGGAUGUUGUUGGCUCUGACCUUUUAUGCUGGUCCCUAGUUUCUGAUAAAUCAUCUUCACUGUUCUCCUGUAUUGCUGCUCGUUUCUUUGAUUGUUUGGGUUUAUGCAUAGGUCAUAGCUCACAGUUUUCUGGUUCCAUGGACAAGCUAAUUGUAUCAAAGCCACUAUCUAUCGGGUAUCUUUAUUCAGUUGCUGAGUUGAAGAGUGGCGCCUAUUCUAAAGAUACAACUAACAUAUCUCUGCAUGCCACGUCAACAUUUGCAGCCUCCAAAAUAUCUGUUAUCCAUGAUAAUGCUUUGCCAAAUUCAUUACUUGGUACAGUUGAAUAUGAGUUGCCCCAUGUGCCUCCAUGGUUUAUUCAUGCUGGUAUCCAGAAGCUUUAUGGGGUUCUUGCUGGAAUAAUUAGACUUGUUGGCCUAUCAACAGUGUCAGGAACCGGGCCAUGUUGAUGUUCAAAAGAGUUGUCAGAAGUUCAUGACAUCUGGUAUUUAUUAUAUCUUCUUUUGUAGUGGGCUGGUGUGGUCUGCUUAGCAGCAGGUAGCACUACAACCAGCAAUGUAUGGAUGAAUUGAAGGUAGUAAAGAACGCAUGCAAUCUUAUAGAAACUCUACAUCUUGAAACUGGCAUGAUUGACAAAGAAGCUGGAUGCAUCCUUUGGAUUGGUGUCUUCUUAUCAUCAAGCAGUAAUGUGAAGCAAGUUCAUUUGUUGACUAAGAACAGAUGAGCACAAAUCAGUGAAGAGUUCAUUGCACUAGAGAUGGAGGAUGGAUAGGUGGUAGAUUUCAAUAUGGCUUUGAUACUAUUGUUUCUCUUUACAAUCUUUGUACAUAACAAGAAAAAUGACGUUGUAUGUGGAUACUAUUGUAAUUCAAGAAUUUAUUUCUGAAUAAUAAAUAUAUUUGUUUAU